GUAUUGCCACCUUCCAAAUAAGGUGGGACACAGGCUCGUCCCCCUGGGCCUCUCAUAGUGUCCCAUGCCAGAGCAAACCGUGGCCCCGAACCAUUCCCUGGCCUCUGUGCCGUAGGCUGCAGGCACUGAAGCGGGUCGCACAGUG
ensembl:snoRNA